AAUGGGAAGCUGUCGGCCGCACUGGGCAUGCGCCACUCCUCGCACAUGCUCAGUCACUCCGGCCCCCUUCCCUCCCCACCCCCCCUCCGCCACCACUCCCUCCGCCUCAGGGCUUUGGGUGUGGGGCCGUAGAGUCGGGCGGAAUCUGAGGGAAGUCCACCUCUCCGGGUUUUACCAGCAGCUUGAGGAAGAGUAAGGAAAGUGCUGGGGAGGCUGUCAGCUACAACCCGUCGGCUUCAGAGGUAUUCUCCUCCCUUCACUGAACUGCUUUGUGUCCCUGGAGGCUGGCUCCUGUGCCCUGCAUCACCUGGGCUCCCUUGAGGCUGCAUUCUGAUUGGGUUUGGCCAAUGGGGGAACCCUCUCAGGAGACUGAAGUACGGGAGGAGAGGGUGGAAUGAAAAGAUGAGAGACUGGAGGCAGGAAGAUAAUUUAGAAGAACUUGAAUGACCUUGGGAAGGACUCAAGGGACCGGCCGAUUGCAGAGACAAGGGGUUGAGAAAGAAGGGCUGAGGCAGCAUGAUGUAGUGGAAAGAAUAUGAGAUUCUGGAAUUAGAAAAACUAGGCAUGAGUCCCAGACUACACUACCAGCUGUGUGACCUUGGAGAGCACCUCCAGUGUGAGAGAUGCUGUGCCAGACGUGGCCCAGUCCAUACAUCCUACUGAGGAGUAUCAGUUAAUAUCGUCCAGCAGUUCAAGAACCUUGACUGUCAUUGAAGAAGAGGUUGAAUAGCUCGUGCAUUUAGAAGACAUGGCCUGAGGCAGCACCGGCACCUGAACAAGGUGGGGUGCCAUCCAUGAAAGCUCUGGGUCUUGCCUCUGGAGUGAAGGAUUAAACUGCACUAGAGGCAAAGCACCCAGGAAAAUGUGUUGGCUAGAUGUGGCCCUGGGACUAAGUUUUGGCUGAUGAGAUGCAAGUGGAAGUUUUGGGAUUGAACUUGCAGGAAGUCUCCUUAGCAUGGAACGAAUGGCUGGGCCUUGCUGGCUGAAAUGUGGAUGUGAUGGCUGGAGCUCCAGGUGCAAUUCUGGAGGAUGAUGUGACCUUGUGGAGGGAAGCCAUGUAUGAAGGAUGGCAAAGAAGGAAGGUAGAAGGAGUCUGGUCCUGGUGACACAGCAGAACCCUGGACUGCCUCUCCCUUACUUUUGGGGUGGAAGUGCAUUUCUGUCUUGUUUAAGCCACUGCUGUUUUCAGUCUGUCACUCAAAUCUAAAUGCAAUUUCAGACGAUGCAAAGUGUGUAGUAUUUUUUUGAAAGA